rnacentral:lncRNA from 10 species
UUACAGCCUUGUUAGUGUCUUUAUUUGGAGAUUAAGUAUGGCUUAAGGAGAUACAUAUAGGUGCCAAGUUGAUGAGAUUAGUUGAUGGACUUGUGAUGGCUAGUAUUUUAUGUCAACUUCACUGGGCUACAAGGUGCCCAGAUAUUUGGUUAAACAUUAUUGUGUGUGUGUGUGUGUGUGUGUGUGUGCGCGUGUGCGUGUGUGUGCAAGGGAGAGAUUUGGGAUGAAAUUAACAUGAGAAUUGAUAGAUAAGCAAAGCAGAUUGCCCUCCCCAAUAUGGGUGGGCCUCAUUCCAUCUAUUAAAGGCCGGAAGAGAACAGAAGGCUGAGUAAGAGAGAAUUUGCUCUCUUAAGCUGACUAUCUUCAAGUGAGGAAAUCACAUCAGUCUUCUGUUUUUGAACUCAGGCUCAGAUUGGAAAUAUACCAUUAGCUGUCCUGGGCCUCGAGUUUGCCAACCUCAGAUCUUGGGACUUCUCUACCUCCAUAAUCAUUAAACUUUUUUUUUCAGUGCCCUGGAUGUGCCACAUUCCCUCACAACUCCGAACCUUGAAAGUGCUGUUCCUUCAGCUUGGAAGUCUUCCUCACUCCUGACCCGCACCACCUCACCUGGCUAACUCCUAUUUACAUCAGGCUCAGCUCAGAGGUAACCUCUAGAGCACUUUCCAUUAAGGCUGUCGUCUGUGGCAAUUGCCCUCCUAUGUACUUCCAUGUCAUCUUGUAUUAUCCACUCUAUUAUGAUCAUCUGAUUUCACUGUUUAUUUUCUGCGUUCCUCUUCCAUGAGACUGUAUGCCACAGGAAGGCAGGAACAAAGUCCACAUCACUCAUACUGUGUCAUUGUGUUUCCAGUCUUCAGAAAAUACCAAUCAAGAAAUAACUGUCAAAAAUGAAUAGUUUCUUGCCUCCCUCCUCCUGCCCUCUAAGUGCAGACAUUGCUUAAGAUUCAUGUUUUCCAGCUUUGCUCGAUUUCCUUCUUUAUAUUUCAUGGAUUCCUAUUACUUCAGUGAUUGGAUAUGUGUGAAGAAAUCUCCAAUCUACCCCCAAGCUAGAUAGCUCUCAGCUCCCAGACUGCAUUUCCAAUCUCAUGCUAGACAUUCAUGCUUGUAGGUUUUUCCAUCAUCUCAGAUAAAAGAUAUAAAACAUUAAAAGCAUGCAAAGGAUAUAUGUGUAAGGAUGUGCAAUGCAACAUUGUCUAUAAUAUAGAAAAAUUGGAAACAAUCCAAAUGCCCAUCAAAAGAGAAUUGGGUAAAUAAACUGUGUACCACUGUGCAGACUAGAAAGAUUUAUAUAUUGAUGUGAAAAGAUGUCCAUGAUAUACCGUUCAGUAAAAAAGCAGCUUCAUCUGUGUAAAUACAUACAGUGCUCUUUUGAAUAAUUUUCCCUUCCUUUGAUCCCAAAGUCAAUGAUACUCAUUUGUAUGUUGAACAAUGAAUUUUAUAAUGCACACUUCAAAUGAAUGUAUAAGGGAAUUGAAAAAAGUACUAGGUAUUAUCUAUUAAGAGACUCCUGUUAACCACACACACAAAAACAGGUUUCAGAACUAUAGAGUUUAAUUUUAUUCAAUCAUUCAACAUGCAUUUAUUAAGCACCUAUUAUGUGCCAGUUUCUGUUCCAGGUACUGGGGAUAUGCAGAGAGCAAGGCAAAGUCCUUGCUCUCACAGUUUUCUUUUUUUUUUUUUUUGAGACAGAGUUUCGCUCUUGUCGCCCAGGCUGGAGUGCAGUGACACGAUCUCGGCUCACUGCAACUUCUGCCUCCCGGUUUUAAGCAAUUCUCCUGCCUCAGCCUCCCGAGUAGCUGGGACUACAGGCGUGCACCACCAUGCCCAGCUAAUUUUUUGUAUUUUUAGUAGAGACGGGGUUUCACCAUGUUGGCCAAGCUGGUCACGAACUCCUGGCCCCAAGUGGUCCACCCGCCUCAGGCUCCCAAAG